rnacentral:rRNA from 1 species
AUACGGAGGAUGCGAGCGUUAUCCGGAUUUAUUGGGUUUAAAGGGUGCGCAGGCGGGCUUUUAAGUCAGCGGUGAAAUCUGGACGCUUAACGUCCAAACUGCCGUUGAAACUGGGAGUCUUGAGUAUGGAUGAAGUAGGCGGAAUUCGUUGUGUAGCGGUGACAUGCAUAGAUAUAACGAGGAACUCCGAUUGCGUAGGCAGCUUACUAAGCCAUAACUGACGCUCAUGCACGAAAGCGUGGGGAUC